rnacentral:rRNA from 1 species
UGACCGCUGGCGGCAGGCCUACCACAUGCACGUCGAACGGUAACAGGAAGAAGCUUGCUUCUUUGCUGACGAGUGGCGGACGGGUGAGUAAUGUCUGGGAAACUGCCUGAUGGAGGGGGAUAACUACUGGAAACGGUAGCUAAUACCGCAUAACGUCGCAAGACCAAAGAGGGGGACCUUCGGGCCUCUUGCCAUCGGAUGUGCCCAGAUGGGAUUAGCUAGUAGGUGGGGUAACGGCUCACCUAGGCGACGAUCCCUAGCUGGUCUGAGAGGAUGACCAGCCACACUGGAACUGAGACACGGUCCAGACUCCUACGGGAGGCAGCAGUGGGGAAUAUUGCACAAUGGGCGCAAGCCUGAUGCAGCCAUGCCGCGUGUAUGAAGAAGGCCUUCGGGUUGUAAAGUACUUUCAGCGGGGAGGAAGGGAGUAAAGUUAAUACCUUUGCUCAUUGACGUUACCCGCAGAAGAAGCACCGGCUAACUCCGUG